rnacentral:rRNA from 1 species
CCUACAGGAGGCUGCAGUGAGGAAUAUUUGUCAAUGGACGCAAGUCUGAACCAGCCAUGCCGCGUGCAGGAAGACGGCUCUAUGAGUUGUAAACUUCUUUUGUACGAGGGUAAACGCAGAUACGCGUAUCUGUCUGAAAUCAUCUUACGAAUAAGGAUCGGCUAACUCCGUGCCAGCAGCCGCGGUAAUACGGAGGAUUCAAGCUUUAUCCGGAUUUAUUGGGGUUAAAGGGUGCGUAGGCGGUCGGAUAAGUUAGAGGUGAAAUCCCGAGGCUCAACUUCGGAAUUGCCUCUGAUACUGUUCGGCUAGAGAGUAGUUGAGGUAGGCGGAAUGUAUGGUGUAGCGGUGAAAUGCUUAGAGAUCAUACAGAACACCGAUUGCGAAGGCAGCUUACCAAGCUACUUCUGACGUUGAGGCACGAAAGCGUGGGUAUCGAACAGGAUUAGAUACCCUAGUAGUC